rnacentral:snRNA from 1 species
GUACUCCUGGAAGCACAUACACUAAAAUUGGAAUAAUGCAGAAAAGAUGAGCAUGCACAAUCACAACAAUUAUGUGUGAAAUAUUACAUAUUUUU